rnacentral:rRNA from 1 species
UACGUAGGGGGCAAGCGUUGUCCGGAUUUAUUGGGCGUAAAGAGCGUGUAGGCGGCCUGAAAGGUCAGCUGUGAAAACUCGGGGGCUCAACCCCGAGACGUCGGUUGAAACCAUCUGGCUAGAGUCCGGAAGAGGAGUGUGGAAUUCCCGGUGUAGCGGUGAAAUGCGCAGAUAUCGGGAAGAACACCCGUGGCGAAGGCGGCACUCUGGGACGGUACUGACGCUGAGACGCGAAAGCGUGGGGAGCGAACAGG